CACGUAGGGGGCGAGCGUUGUCCGGAUUUAUUGGGCGUAAAGAGCGUGUAGGCGGCUUGGUAGGUCCGCUGUGAAAACUCGAGGCUCAACCUCGAGAUGUCGGCGGAAACCACUUGGCUAGAGUCCGGAAGAGGAGAGUGGAAUUCCCGGUGUAGCGGUGAAAUGCGCAGAUAUCGGGAAGAACACCUAUGGCGAAGGCAGCUCUCUGGGACGGUACUGACGCUGAGACGCGAAAGCGUGGGGAGCGAACAGG
rnacentral:rRNA from 1 species